rnacentral:lncRNA from 1 species
GGGAAAUAAUGAAUGAAGAAGAAAUAAAGGGUAGUUGCGGGAGGCCCUGAGCCUAAGGGGAGGGGCCUUAAGGAGGGCAAAGAGCAGCUCACCCGCUGAAGACGGGCAGCAGAGGUCAGAACCUCAGGGGGUGAGCUGCUGCUGGUGGGAGGGCCUCAAGGUCUUCAGCAGCAUGGCCUUGGCUUGCAGGUACGUGUAGAAUUUUAUGAUCGACACAAAAUGACAGCAGCGAACAGACGUCCAAAUCCCAAUGUUUCUUUGUUGAGCACGGGCUCACGCUGCAGCGGAACCCUCGGAGUAUGGGGUGGUGCCACGGGGAAGCCAUCUUACAGGAAGAGAAAGACAAGAUGGUGGAGGAAGCCGCUAGGAAAGCUCUUCUCUAUGGCUCAGUGUUCUGUAGAAGAUGGAAGUAAAAUGGGUGCGUGUGGACUCUGCCGUUAG